rnacentral:sRNA from 1 species
CAACAACGGCUCCAUCUACUACGUGGAUGUGCAGAAGUUCCCCUUGCGCAUGAAAGACAACGACCUCCUUGUCAGCGAGCUCUAUCGGGACCCGGCGGAGGAUGGGGUCACCGCCCUCAGUGUCUACCUCACCCCCAAGACCAGUGACAGUGGGAACUGGAUCGAGAUCGCCUAUGGCACCAGCUCAGGGGGCGUGCGGGUCAUCGUGCAGCACCCGGAGACUGUGGGCUCGGGGCCUCAGCUCUUCCAGACCUUCACUGUGCACCGCAGCCCCGUCACCAAGAUCAUGCUGUCGGAGAAGCACCUCAUCUCAGUCUGUGCCGACAACAACCACGUGCGGACAUGGUCUGUGACUCGCUUCCGCGGCAUGAUUUCCACCCAGCCCGGCUCCACCCCACUCGCUUCCUUCAAGAUCCUGGCUUUGGAGUCGGCAGAUGGGCAUGGCGGCUGCAGUGCUGGCAAUGACAUUGGUGCCUACUGGCUCCUGGCCUUCC